rnacentral:rRNA from 1 species
GACGAACGCUGGCGGCGUGCUUAACACAUGCAAGUCGAACGCUGAAGACCUGGCUUUUGUUGGGUUGGAUGAGUGGCGAACGGGUGAGUAACACGUGAGUAACCUGCCCUCUUCUUUGGGAUAACGCCCGGAAACGGGUGCUAAUACUGGAUAUUCACUGAUCUUCGCAUGGGGGUUGGUGGAAAGGUUUGUUCUGGCGGGGGAUGGGCUCGCGGCCUAUCAGCUUGUUGGUGGGGUGAUGGCCUACCAAGGCUUUGACGGGUAGCCGGCCUGAGAGGGUGACCGGUCACAUUGGGACUGAGAUACGGCCCAGACUCCUACGGGAGGCAGCAGUGGGGAAUAUUGCACAAUGGGCGAAAGCCUGAUGCAGCGACGCCGCGUGAGGGAUGGAGGCCUUCGGGUUGUAAACCUCUUUCGCUCAUGGUCAAGCCGCAACUGUGGGUUGUGGUGAGGGUAGUGGGUAAAGAAGCGCCGGCUAACUACGUG